rnacentral:rRNA from 1 species
AGCAGCCGCGGUAAUUCCAGCUCCAAUAGCGUAUAUUAAAGUUGUUGCAGUUAAAAAGCUCGUAGUUGAACUUCAGGCCUGUCCAGACGGUCCGCCUUAAUUGGUGUGUACUGUCCUUGGGUGGGUCCUACCUUCUGGCGAAGCGGCAUGGCCUUAAUUGGUUGUGUCGGGGAACCAGGACUUUUACUGUGAAAAAAUUAGAGUGUUCAAAGCAGGCAAAUAUGCUCGAAUACAUUAGCAUGGAAUAAUGGAAUAGGACGAUGGUUCUAUUUUGUUGGUUCUAGGACCGUUGUAAUGAUUAAUAGGGAUAGUUGGGGGCAUUAGUAUUCAAUUGUCAGAGGUGAAAUUCUUGGAUUUAUUGAAGACUAACUACUGCGAAAGCAUUUGCCAAGGAUGUUUUCAUUAAUCAAGAACGAAAGUUAGGGGAUCGAAGACGAUCAGAUACCGUCGUAGUCUUAACCAUAAACUAUAGCCGACUA